AACAUAAUUGCUAGAUCAUAUGGUAAGGAUAUGUUUUGCUUUAUAGGAAUCUGUCAAGCUGUCUUCCAAAGUAGCUCUACCAUUUUGCAUUUCCACCAGCAAU
rnacentral:pre_miRNA from 1 species